AUGAACGAAGUCUGGGCAACCCCCAAGCUCCACAGAAAAGAAGCACUAUGCCGGAACAGCCAAAAUGUGGCACUGUUAUCAUCAAGAGCAGUCACUUUCAUGCAUUGUUUUUAUGGUCUCCAUAAAUAUUAUGAGCCUGAGGCGCUUCCAGCAGAGAUACAUGAGUCAUCCAUUCCAACAAAUACGUUUGAACGGGAAAUUGCAGAAAGCUGACAUCCACAGAAGCAGAAGACAUCAGUUCCACUGUUUUGGCAGAUGCAUACCAAUUCCCUGACAUCUCUUGGGGCCGCAGAUGACAUUUUACAGACUUGAAGGCUCCAGCUUGCAGGUCAUUAGCAUAAGACCGUAAUAAGACACAUCAUUCAUAGGACCACAAUCUAAUAAUACACUGAAACUGAAAUCCAGGCUUCCUUUAGCAGCAACUUCCCUGAUGCUUGGUAACUCAACAAAACAACAGGCAUUCAUAAAUCUGAAUCAGUUAUGGACUACUAAUAUGUUUUGAAAUAAAAUUAAUAGAUUGACUGUAGUGAAUUACA
rnacentral:lncRNA from 1 species